AUUGAACGCUGGCGGCAGGCCUAACACAUGCAAGUCGAGCGAGCGGCGGACGGGUGCGUAAUGCCUGGGAAUUUCCCAGUCGAGGUGGAUCACAGUUGGAAACGACUGCUAAUGCCGCAUAAUCUUGGAUUGCCCUGGUGGGAUUAGCUAGUUGGUGAGGUAAUGUCUCACCAGGGCGACGACCCAUAGCUGAUCUGAGAGGUUGAUCAGCCACACUGGAACUGAGACAAGGUCCAGACGCCUACGUGAGGCAGCAGUGGGGAAUAUUGCACAAUGGGGGAAACCCUGAUGCAUCCAUGCCGCGUGUGUGAAGAAGGCCUUCGGGUUGUAAAGCACUUUCAGCGAGGAGGCGUUACUCGCAGAAGAAGCACAGGCUAACUCCGUGCCAGCAGCCGCGGUAAUAC
rnacentral:rRNA from 1 species